CUGAGUACGGCGGAACACGUGAAAUUCCGUCGGAAUCCGGGAGGACCAUCUCCCAAGGCUAAAUACUCCCUAGUGACCGAUAGUGAACCAGUACCGUGAGGGAAAGGUGAAAAGCACCCCGGAAGGGGAGUGAAACAGUUCCUGAAACCGUGUGCCUACAAGUAGUUAGAGCCCGUUAAUGGGUGAUAGCGUGCCUUUUGUAGAAUGAACCGGCGAGUUACGAUUUGUUGCAAGGUUAAGCGGAAAAAGCGGAGCCGUAGCGAAAGCGAGUCUGAAUAGGGCGCAUAAGUAACAGGUCGUAGACCCGAAACCAGGUGAUCUACCCAUGUCCAGGAUGAAGGUAAGGUAAUACUUACUGGAGGUCCGAACCCACGCACGUUGAAAAGUGCGGGGAUGAGGUGUGGGUAGCGGAGAAAUUCCAAUCGAACUUGGAGAUAGCUGGUUCUCUCCGAAAUAGCUUUAGGGCUAGCCUCGAGGUAAAGAGUCAUGGAGGUAGAGCACUGUUUGGACUAGGGGCCCUUCUCGGGUUACCGAAUUCAGAUAAACUCCGAAUGCCAUGUACUUAUACUCGGGAGUCAGACUGCGAGUGAUAAGAUCCGUAGUCGAAAGGGAAACAGCCCAGACCACCAGUUAAGGUCCCCAAAUAUAUGUUAAGUGGAAAAGGAUGUGGGGUUGCUUAGACAACCAGGAUGUUGGCUUAGAAGCAGCCACCAUUGAAAGAGUGCGUAAUAGCUCACUGGUCGAGUGACCCCGCGCCGAAAAUGUACCGGGGCUAAACAUAUUACCGAAACUGUGGAUGAACCUCUUUAGAGGUUCGUGGUAGGAGAGCGUUCUAAGGGCGGUGAAGUCAGACCGGAAGGACUGGUGGAGCGCUUAGAAGUGAGAAUGCCGGUAUGAGUAGCGAAAGAAGGGUGA
rnacentral:rRNA from 1 species